CACGACUGAGGUAGAUUUCUUCUCGGUGCCUUGUGGUGAUAUGUCGGGCUAGUGAAAGUUAAGGAAAGAGGAACUUUUACGCGCGUGUCUGCCAUUUUGAUUUGCCGUGAACUCGUGAAAAAGAGCAUUGCUUCUCCUUGCAUCUCCUUAGUUACGACAAGAAGUUAGUCUGAAGUGGAACCGUACCUGCCAUGAAAUGGGCCAUUAGAAACAGACUGAAAACCAAGCUUUGCAGCCGCCAGUGCAUACUCGCAUAUACUGUAUAUACUUCAUGUAAACAACACAC